AUGAACGCUGGCGGCGUGGAUAAGGCAUGCAAGUCGGACGAUUUCCUUUUUUGAAGAAGAUGCGAUUACAUCAAGUCAACUGAUAUUUUGGAGAUAGUGGCGAACGAGCUAGUAACACCUUGGUACGUACCCAAAAGUUUGGUAUAGCUCGCCGAAAGGCGGGGUAAUCCCAAAUAAUCCCUCUAUCUAUCGGAUAGAAGGGUAAAGUCGCAAGACGCUUUUGGAGCGGCCUAGGACCGAUCCAGUUAGUUGGUGAGGUAAUGGCUCACCAAGACGAUGACCGGUAGGGG
rnacentral:rRNA from 1 species